GAAAUUGUGGCUCAGAGGAAAUAGCUGUGUUGGUUAGAGCAUGGUGCUGAAAAUGCCACGGUUGCAGGUUUGAUCCCCGUAUGGGGCAGCU